GACGAACCGUGCGAACGUUGUUCGGAAUCACUGGGCUUAAAGGGCGCGUAGGCGGCUUGCCAAGUCAGUGGUGAAAUCCUGCAGCUUAACUGCAGAAGUGCCUUUGAUACUGGCGAGCUCGAGGGAGGUAGGGGUAUGUGGAACUUCUGGUGGAGCGGUGAAAUGCGUUGAUAUCAGAAGGAACGCCGGUGGCGAAAGCGACGUACUGGACCUUUUCUGACGCUGAGGCGCGAAAGCUAGGGGAGCAAACGGG
rnacentral:rRNA from 1 species